AAAAUUUUAGUGGAGAAUCUAAAGAAUUACAUAUCCGUCAUUUUCUAUGAUUUCUGUGAGGACCACUUUUUUUUUAAAAAAAAAUUUCACUCUCUCCUAUAGGAUGAGCAAUAAUACCCAUCCGAAAAUACAUUGGUUUGUCGCUGUUUGAUAAAUGACAAGCGGAUUUCUCGUCCCACAAUUUUUUUGGUCCAAAUGAGAAAUAAUAUGGUAUCAACUACUGUAUCUUGACUGGUAUUAUUUUAAGAAAUAGCAUUUGCUUACUAUUUGACUUAACAAAACAAUAUCCAGUGCGCUUGUACUAACCCUGCUGCGUUUUUUUCACAAUAUCUAUUUCUAUUCUUUGCUGAGGACUUUUGUGAAUCUGUGAUAUAAGCUGGCGGAAUCGCUGCAUCCAAAUUUAAUAUGAGAAAACAUAUCCUCAAGCUAGCCCGCUUAACGCGCAGCGGAUAUUAGUAAUAAGAAUGACCAUAGCACAGCCACAGAAACGGCGCAGCCCCAUUCUAUCAUUUUUGUGCCCCCUCCUCAAACUUUUUUGAUAAUAAUUUUUGAUAUCACUCUUUAUUUCACCAUACUCUAUUUUGAUUAAUUCGAUUUAUUUCUCAAAUUACUCCCAUUAAAAAUAUUUUAUCUCUAUUGUUUCUCACUUGCUCUUCUCGUUAUAUUUCAACUAAUGGUACAACAAUCGAAAUGGAAAUUAUGGAAUCAGAAUCAAUGACAUGUUUACUUGCAAAAUUAAGGUUUGGGAUUGGAACUGAAAUAGUAUCGGACCUACAAAUUUGAGAAUCACUACCAUAGUUCUGAUUCCAAAGCGAGGGGUUUAGACUCUGAAUUCGAUUUCUAUAACUACCCAUUUUACUCCCAUUAAACUUUUAUAAUCUCUAAAUUACUCUCAAUUAAGUUCUGUCAUUUUUUUCUUUUUGGUUCCCAUGGAAUUUAUCAAAAAAACUCAAAUUUCUUGAAUUAUUUACAAAUAGGUCAUUUAUUGUUUAUAAUAAUGUAAUAAUAAUAUUAUAUUAUUAUCAUUAUUAUAUUUAAAAUUUAUUUAUUUUAUUAUUUUUAUUAUUAUUAUUGUCAUUAAUUUCAUCAUCAUCAUUAUUAUUAAAUUUUUUUAUUUAUUUUUUUUUUAGGAAAACAAGGUACACAUAAAUAGCUAGACAAAGAGAAUCUCUUGUAUAUAUCAAGAGAUCUUACAAGUUAAACUGAACCAAACUGAGACCAUCAUACAAUUGAUGGGUAAUAACAGUACCCAUACUUUUAUUUUCUUAAACAUAACAUAAGAGACUAAUACUGCAUAUUCUUAACCAGUGUGAUCAGGGUUUCUUCCAUAUUGUGGGACUACAAGAAGAUCAAUAUUUCCAUUAAUUUCAUCAUCAGCAAUAAGUGAAAACCAUGGGGGGGCCCCACCCUCCGACCAAUCGGUAUAACCUGAAAAAUUCAUGUUAUAAAACUUAAUCACAAAUACACAUAUUAAAAUAAGAAUUAUAAAUGACAUUUAUUUGAAAAUGCAUGGCCUAUGUAUAAACCUGCGCAAGGAGUUCCCAUAAUCUUCAAAUCAGGAAGGCAAAAGAUUUCUGCUGGCUUCGACUGAACCGUAUUCAAAACUCAAAAGAAAAGAAGCUGUGCUUGAGCGAGUUCUUAUUUCUGGUUUGAUCUGAUAUAUAUAGAUCAAGUAGCCGACACUACAGUGAGAAUAUAGCAAAGUAACAAGUUGUGCAUCGUAAAGAUAAUGGAUCAGUGGUUCUAAUUUAAUCGUACAAUAGGUAGGGAAGGUCAACAGCUCUAUAUGGUUAAGUUAGUGCAUGUGCGAUACAUGGUUCAAAAAAUAAAUAAUUCUAAAUACGAAGGACACGAGCAAAUAAAGUAAUAAAUGCAAUUACCAAAUAAUAGUGCGUGGUAUACUAUAGAUAAUGGAUCAACCAUUCAGAUUUCAUCAUACAAUAAGUAGGUAAGAUUAACUGUUAGUGUUAAAUCAUUGCAUGUGCGAAACAUGGUCCACAAAAUAAAUAGUAGUAAACAAGAAAGACGAACAAAGUAAUCAAAUACCAUGUCAUCAGAUAAAAAGAAAAAAAAGAAAGGUAUAAAUACCAUUACCAAACAAUUGCUUGGUAAAGAUAACAGAUUUACCGCUGAAGUCUGAUAAUUGUAAGAUUAACGGCUAUAUAUGGUUCAACUGCAUGUGUAGAUAAAGUAUGAAUCAAUGGGUCCAGGAAAUAAAUAAGAAGACCACAAGCAUAGUGGUCCAAAAAAUAAAUAAGAAGCGAACUGACGAUACAUAUAGAUCAAGUAGCCGACAGUGCCAACGUAUCAAAUAAACAAGUCAUGCAUGGUAAAGAUAAUGGAUCAACGGUCCAAGUUUAAUCGUACAAUAACUAGGUAAGAUUAAGGGCUCUGUAUUGUUAAAUGAUUGCACGUGCGAAAUAUGGUCCAAAAAAUAAAUAAUUGUAAAUAAGAACGACGAACAAAUUAAGUAAUUAGUACCAUUACCGAACACAGUGCAUUGGAAGGACUGGCUUUCUUCCUUUUUAUGAGAGCAAAGAACGAAAUUUUGUAAUAGUUUUACUUAACAGCUGAAAGUUAAUUUCAUUUUUAUAUCUUUCUUUUCCUUCUUUAUUUCUUAUAUUUUUCUGUUAUUAUUAUAAUUUCUCUUUUAUGUCAGUACGAGAGGCGUGUAAUUGUUUUGGUUUACUAAACCCUUAAUUCUCUUUCUAUACAACAUCAAAUCUAACUAUCCUUGUAAAGCUUUAAAAUAGUCGAUUAUAGUUAAUUAUUUGAAAAAUAAUAACCAAAGUAAAUAAGUAUUUUAUUUUUUUCGGUGUAUUAAACUAUCUAGUAUCUAAAGACCACAUUGGACCCCGAUUAAUUUAUAUUCGAGACAGGCAUGACCACUGAGGUGGCAAAGCUCUCCCAACAAAUAUUUAACGCAACUGUACUCCCAAGUCUCGAACUGAGGACUUUAGUUAAGUUAAAACAACUCUAUGCCAACUGAUCUCCGCGCUUGAUAGAAGUAAAUAAGCAUUUUAGUUAUCACAAUUAAACUCUUCUUUAGCAUUUAAUAGAAGUAGUUCUAUGAGCAUGGGUUUCGAGAGAGCAUGGCGGUGCGAAAAUGUUCGUGCGUUUACAGUCCCUAUGUUUUUAGUCAUAAUUUAUUUAGAUAUAGACAAAGACCCCUAAUGUUUAAAAAAUAGACACACAAAUGGCCCUUUUGAUUAUUUCACUCUUUGGUUCUAUUUAUCCAACGAAAAUUAAUUUCAAUCUAUUGUUCUAUAAUAAAUAUAAAUAUAGUAUUUAAAUCAGUGUAAUAAAUAAAUACAUUUUACAAUACAUAAACGUUAUUUGAGUUCUUUGCAAGAAUUAGCUAACCACUAUGCGGAGUUUGUUUAAGAAAAAUAUUGAAGAAGAGACAGCAUAAUUAAGCUGAUAGUAGAUAUAUAGCUAGACAAAGUUAAUCGACGUUAACAAACUGAUACACAAUACUUUUUUUUUUCUUAAAAGGAAAAUAUAGUACACGUAAAUAGCUAGACAAAGAGAAUCAAUUUGUAUAUAUCAAGAGAUCUUACAAGUUAAACCGAUCAAGAGAUCUUACAAGUUAAACCGAACCAAACUGAGACCAUUAUACAAUUGACGGGUAAUAACAGUACCCAUACUUUUAUUUUCUUAAACAUAACAUAAGAGACUAAUACUGCAUAUUCUUAACCAGUGUGAUUAGGGUUUCUUCCAUAUUGAGGGACCAGAAAAAGAUCAAGAUUGUCGUUAGUUUCAUCAUUAGCAAUACCCAUUUCGGGAAUCGGAAUCCAUUUCGACCAAUCGUUAUGACCUGAAAAGUUCAUAUUAUAAAACUUAAUCACAGAUACAUAUUAAAAUAAGAAUUAUAAUGAUAUUUAAUUGAAAAUGCAUGGCCUAUAUAUAAGCCUGCGCAAGGAGUUUCCGUAAUCUUCAAAUCAGAAAGGCAAAAGAUUUCUGCUGGCUUCGAUUGAACCGUAUUCAAAACUCAAAAGGUAAGUAGUUGCGCUUGAGCGAGUUCUUAUUUCUGGUUUGAUCUGAUAGAUAUAGAUCAAGUAGCCGACACUACAGUGAGAAUAUAGCAAAUAAGCAAGUCAUCACGCUAAAGAUGAUGGAUCGACAGUUCAAGUUUAAUCGUACUAUAAAUCGGUAAGAUUAACGGCUCUGUAUGGUUAGAUUAUUGCGUGGUUGAAACAUUGUCUAAAAAAUAAAUAAUUCUAAAUAAGAAGACGAACUGACGAUCAAAGCAAUAAUACCAACCAAUAAUGCAUGGUAGGGAUAAGAUAACGUAUAUAUAUCCACGGCUGAAGUUUCAUGGUAAGAUUAACGGCUAUAGAUGUUUCAAUUAAUGGGUCCACGAAAUAAAUAAUUGUAAAUAAGAAGUCAUGCAAAAUAAAUAUUCUUUCAACUGCAAUUCGAGUCCGUCCAAUUUUAAAUAAGAUUUGGGUGGAAAGUAGAUGUCCUUCUCGUUAAUUGGGUGGAAAGUAGACGAUUAUUAUUAUGGUCUUCUUAUUUAUUUCGCUGACCCAUUGAUUCCUACUUCCACAUGCAGUUGAAACGUAUAUAGCCAUUAAUCUUACAAUUAUCAAACUUCAGCCUUACGUGUGUUAUCUUUAUACUUUUUUUUUUUUUUGAUGAGAUGGUAUUUAUUACUUUGUUCCCCUAUCUUAUUCACAAUUAUUUAUUAUGUAGACGUUUCGCACAUGCAAUAAUUUACUUAUUGUACGAUCAAACAUUACCUCGUUAUUGUAGGAUGAAACCUGAGUUGAUCCAUUAUCAUGCAUUAUUUCUUUUUGUUUUUGCUUUGUUUUUUUUUUUCUUUUUUUGGUGGCUACGUUGGCGCUGUAGUGUCGGCUACUUGAUGUAUAACCAGAAAUGAAGUUAAAGGCUGAAGUUAAGAUAAGAUCACAUUUCUACGGCUGAAGUUAAGAUAAGAAAACGAACUGACUAUCAAAGAAAUAAUACCAACCAAUAAUGCAUAGUAAGGAUAUAUAAGAUAACAUAUGUUUCAUUGUGAGCUUAUCGGCUGCAUAUGUUUCAAUUGAUGAGUCCACGAAAUAAAUAAUUGUAAAUAAUAAGUCAAGCAAAGUAAAUAUUCUUUCCUUAUCAUCUGGUAAAAUGUGUUUCUAUGGCCAAAAUUAUUGUGCGUGGAGACUGAGAGUAAUUUGGUGGUAACUAAGAGGGAAAAGGAUUGUUACACUCGAUAGUUUAUUUCAAUAUACACAUAGACCCUUAAUGUUCAAAACAUAAUCACACAGAUGGCCCUUUGACUAUUUUACUCUUGGACUCUAUUUACCCAACAAAAAUUGAUUUCAAUCGCAUGUUUUAUAAUAAAUAAAACUAUAAUAUUUAAAUCAAUGUAAUAAAUAAAUACACUUUCAGUUAAAUUUAAUAUUAAAAUAUGUUGUACUUAUUUAUCAAUAUUAAAAUUUUUUAUAAACAAGGUUAAAAAAAUUAAUAAUUUGUUGAAUAUAUUUAUACAAAUUCCUACCCUAUUAAGGAUUUCAUGAUACGCAAAAGGAAAAAAAGUAACAUUUAGAAAAAUGAUGGGGCAAAUUUGCACUCCAAUAUAUAUUUUGGACACUCUAAAAUUUUACAUUACUAAAAUAACGGUAAUCUAAUCUACUAUUCAGGACAUUAAUAUAUUUUAAGAAAAUUUUAAUUCCCUUAAAACUCACUAUUAUACGUAGAAGAAUUAAAUUUCAAGUCUUUUUUCCUCGUCAUCAUCCAAUUUAGUGCCUGCUUGGUAUUGCUUUUGGAAACUUUAAAAGUUAUUUUAAAAAACUAAGUGCUAAUUUUGAUGAAGUUCAUGUUAUCUAAUGCUUGUAAUAGUUUUUCCCUUUUUUAAAGAUGUUAUUCUUUUGGAAUAUACCAAUAUCAAUGAGCCAGAAAUGUUCUUGCAACAUUGAAUUAGUUUAUAAAUUUAAAAAUGCAUGAUCUAAAAUCCUAUGCCUUGCUUAUCUAAUUUGAACUUGCAUAGUGCUCAUAUGAUUACAUUCAUAAGCUCUUAUCAAAAUUUAGUUGUUGUUUAGUUGUUUUUUAGUAAAGUUUUUAAAGAUUAAAUAAGUUAUUUUUGUUCUACUAGCAAAAGCUAUAAUUUUGGGCAUUUGGGAGCAGACGUAGAAACGUUUUUUUUUUUAAUUAUUAAAAUGUCUAAAAUAUUCUUUAUUUAUUUGACAAUUUUAUUUCAUUUAUUUUAUAACAUAACUUUCAAAAGCUUAUUUAUUAAAGUAGUUUUACAAUUCUAAUAAAAGCUCUUAUUGACAACCAAAUAACUAAAUUUUUUUUAGCACAAGCUCUAUUUGUAAGAGCUCUACUAACAAAAGUUCUACUUCAAUAAGCUCUAUUUGAAAACUCUGCCAAACUAAGCCUUAUUUUUGAACUCAUCUCCUAAUGCUCGAUCGAAAACAAUUCUAUUGCAAAAUUAAUGCAAUGCAUGUUCAAUAAUUUUGUCUAGAUUUCCCAGGGUUGAACAUUCGUUAAGCACCCGUAGUAAUAGCAAUUUCAAAUUCGCGCAAUGCAUCUGUUCAAAUUAUCAUUAUAAUUCAGUUGAAAUUUUUUUUAGAACUUAUGUCAAGUCAAGGUCCCAAGUGUUACGGUGAAUUCAGCUCCGGCUAUACCCUUCCUGAGUUUAUUACUUUUCCGUGUGCGUACGUAAUAACAGCCUGGAGAAGUAAUUAAUUGAUUGAUUAACCAUUGAUGGCAUUUAACCGUCCUCUUGAAGGGAAACCAGCUACGAUAUAAAUCAAACAACUGAACGUACAACUUCAUUAGAUUUCCUACAAUAAUGGCUAACAUUCAAUUUCAAUGAUUUAUCUGCUCCCUUCGAUCGACCAUGCCUUAAUUAAUUGUUACCACAACAUCAUCCCGAAUGUGGUAAUGACGUAAAUUAUAUAUUUUAGCUAUUUUUCUUUUUAAUAAAUAAUUUUACAGACACAGAUACAAUAAGCGUGGCAUAUGGGAGGAUGUUAGUUGAAACUUGGAAGCGAUAUCAGUUAAGCCAUCAUGCUUUUGUCCAACUUCUAUCUUCACGAUUAUGAAACCUAUUGUUUCUUUUCCAUUCACUUCUUGGGACAUGAGUAAUAAUAUAGCCACAAAUUCUUGUACAAGCUUAUCUUAUACAAACUGAUGUGGCAGGAUAAAAUUGAUUAAAUUAAAUAUUACUUGACCCACAUGAUUUAUUUUCAUUAUUUUGUAUUUUCAUUCAACCAAUGAAUUAAUGCCGAAUCAGUUUGUACAAAAUAAAUUUGUACAAAAAUUUGUGAUUGUAUCAUCACUCCUUAUGAUAUAUUGUCCACCCCACGUGUUAGCCUUUAAUUAUGCCAUCUUGCAACAUAAGCCCAUUGUUUGAGAAUUAAUCUCAGUUAAAGGGGCGGCUGAGACUUGAACCAUGAACUUUGAAGGUCACGUAGGUGGUGUUGUCCAUGUGCCAAGUAUACAUCAAUCAAACUUUAAGUAAUUAUUGGUUGGGCGAAAAUGAAAGCAAAGUGCGUAUUUAUGACUAGCUGUAGAAGAGAGCGAAAGGGCAGAACGAGCGUAUAUAGGUAGCUUUUGAUGACUUGGCUCAAAUAAAGGCAGUUCUAUAUUUAUACACGGAGAAAUUAUAAAAGUACAAGUCGUUUUUGGUCAUCUUGAUUUAUGCCCCAGAUCAAAAUUUUUUUAAAAUAGUUUUAUUUAAGUGGUCAUUCAAAUUCAAAUUCAAAUUCAUGGGGAGAUUAGUAAUAAGAAAAGAAAUUUAGCCUUUACCCACUCCCCUUAUUUUUUUCAGAAUGAGACUAAUAAGUUCAUUAAAACUUAUCAGAUAGAACAAAUUCGGAAUAUUUUGAAGAAUGACAAUUACAAUAAAGAGUACAAAUAAUGAUGAAUGCACCUCCUACUCCUCUUCGUGACACAAGCCAAUUAGGUUAUGAUUUUUUUUUAAUUAAAGAAAAAAAAUAAAAAUCAAGCCUUACCUAAAAGCAAUUGGUAGUAAAAUUUUAGUGGAGAAUCUAAAGAAUGACAUAUCCGUCAUUUUCUAUGAUUUCUGUGAGGACCACUUUUUUUUUUUUAAAAAAAAAAAAUUCACGCUCAUCACAAGUUGAUUUGUUUUGUCAUUUGUGAUUGCGGGGUGUGUGUCUUCUUUUGGUUUGAUGCCUCACUGAUCUGAUCCGCAAUCUUAAACUUUAUUAAAAUUUAAAAAAAUUAUCAAGUUAUAUGGUUUAAUUUACAAUUUUUCUCUAUUUCUCUACUUGUAAAUUUUACAUUUUUUAAUAAAAAUUAUUAAAGUCUCUGAGCUAUUAAGGGUAUUUAUGACAUUUUCCUACUUGUAAUUAAUUUAAUCAUUAAAAGUAUAUAAGUUUUUUCUGGAUUUAUAUUCAAACAUAUUUAAAUUUUAUAAAAAUAAAUUAAUGUCUUAGUUAAGCUUUCUAAUUUUUUUUUUCUGCUCGACGAAUUUAUAAAGACGUCGUUUUUAAGAAGGAAAUAAUUUCUCUUUAUCUUUUUACUGCUUGAUUGGAACUCGGGAAUUGAAAAAAGGAAAGGAUCGAUGUUGAAGGAAAGAGUUGGGUAUGGAAAUAAAAUUGUAUCCCUUUAUAAACUCAUUAAAAAUCAAAUUGAAUGAAUUUAAUUAUUAAUAAUUAGGUUACAAUAUAAAAUGAAAUCUUAAGCUUUCAAUUUUUUUUUCUAGAAAUUAAUUUUAUGAUUAGAUUAUUGAAAGCUAAAGAAAAAUUAGGAGGGGGAAAACUAGUAGGGAAUCCAAAUCCUAUUCUUAUUAAUUAAUUAUAAGCUCUAUUUUUUUUUAAUCAAGUCCAAAAUUUUCCUUGUUUUUUUUUUUCUUUUUAAAUACCCAAAACUAAAAAGCAGGGCAUGCACUCUGUUUAUAUUUCUAUGAAAUCGUUGUUCAUUAAGCAAAUUUCUUCCUCUAAGUUCAGAUAAUUUCAUGAUUUGUCACUUACUGCACCGAAUAAAAAGAUAAAGAAUCAAAAUUCAAAAGGACAUCUUUUAUGUGUAAAUACACAUCAAAUCUCUUUUAUUAAUCAAAUUUUUUUGAUUAUUAAUAAAAUAGGCUACAUAGCAUAUUAUAUUUUUUCUCCCUCAGCUAAAAUACUAAUAUAUUACCAAAUUAAUUCGUAAACGGAAAUUAAGAAAGUUAGAUCUCCAGUGAUUGUCCGUGCAAUCUCUGACUUGGCGGCACUGGAUUUUAUCAUUGCUUCAUUGUUAAAAUUUCCCGUGAAGGACGUAUAAAUUGCUGCCAUGGUGACCUUUGCAAAGGAUGUGACCAUUGCUGCGCUGGAUAAUACUGCUGGGGAUGUGAACAUUGCUGUGCUGGGUGUAAAAUGCAAGGGAUAUGAAUGUAAUUGGAGAUCGUUUUCAUUUUUGUUUGUCGUUUUCGCUUUUUCAAGGUUGGUAAAUGGAGAGUGAAGAAACAGCAGAUCACCAAGGAGGAUUCACUAACUUUCGUGAAUUUAGGGAGGGGUUUCCUUGAGAUUAUGUGCCUGAUUGGUACAACUUAUUUAAUAAUCACAAGUGUUUAUUUAAUCUCAUCAGCUCUUAUUUUAAUUUUUAUUAUUGUUUGGUUUUUUUUUUAAUAGAACUUUUGAAAUUUAAAUAAGAUAGUUUGUCUUUUCUAAUAAAAUCUCAAAUUUUGUUGGGCAUAGGACGAAUGAAAAACAUUUGUUCUUAAACACCUUUUCCUAGUUUCAAAUAGAAGUGAGAGAGAGUUGAUGCUAAAAAGACCGCCAGACUUAUAUUUUUCCAUGAGAAUUAUGUAUUAUGUGGAACUAAUUUUAAUUUACUUUCGUGAUCUUGUUACAAUGUUAGCUCUUUGUUCAUGAAUUGAUUAAUACGUGUUUCUUUUUACUCAAAAGUCUUCAUCUUAUUAACUUGCAUCAUCUUUUUCUUCUUCUUUUUCUCCGCGUGGUCUUCAAUCACCUAGUUUCUCUCCUACAGGAUGAGCAAUAAUACCCAUUCGAAAAUACAUUGGUUUGUCGCUGUUUGAUUUAUGACAAGCGGAUUUCUCAUCCCACAAUUUUUUUGGUCCAAAUGAGAAAUAAUAUGGUAUCAACUACUGUAUCUUGACUGGUAUUAUUUUAAGAAAUAGCAUUUGCUUACUAUUUGACUUAACAAAACAAUAUCCAGUGCGCUUGUACUAACCCUGCUGCGUUUUUUUCACAAUAUCUAUUUCUAUUCUUUGCUGAGGACUUUUGUGAAUCUGUGAUAUAAGCUGGCGGAAUCGCUGCAUCCAAAUUUAAUAUGAGAAAACAUAUCCUCAAGCUAGCCGGCUUAACGCGCAGCGGAUAUUAGUAAUAAGAAUGACCAUAGCACAGCCACAGAAACGGCGCAGCCCCAUUCUAUCAUUUUUGUGCCCUCUCCUCAAACUUUUUUGAUAAUAAUUUUUGAUAUCACUCUUUAUUUCACCAUACUCUAUUUUGAUUAAUUCGAUUUAUUUCUCAAAUUACUCCCAUUAAAAAUAUUUUAUCUCUAUUGUUUCUCACUUGCUCUUCUCAUUAUAUUUCAACUAAUGGUACAACAAUCGAAAUGGAAAAUUUAGAAUCAAAAUCAAUGACAUGUUUACUUGCAAAAUUAAGGUUUGGGAUUGGAAUUGAAGUAGUGUCGGACCCACAAAUUUGAGAAUCACUACCAUAGCUCUGAUUCCAAAGCGAGGGGUUUGGAAUCUGAAUUCGAUUUCUAUAACUACCCAUUUUACUCCCAUUAAAUUUUUAUAAUCUCUAAAUUACUCUCAAUUAAGUUAUGUCAUUUUUUUCUUUUUGGUUCCCAUGGAAUUUAUCAAACAAACUCAAAUUUCUUGAAUUAUUUGCAAAUAGGUCCUUUAUUGUUUAUAAUAAUGUAAUAAUAAUAUUAUAUUAUAUUAUUAUAUUUAAAAUUUAUUUAUUUUAUUAUUUUAAUUAUUAUUAUUGUCAUUAAUUUCAUCAUCAUCAUCAUUUCAUCAUCAUUAUUAUUAAAUUUUUUUAUUUAAUCAUCAUUAUUAUUAAAUUUUUUUAUUUAUUUUUCUUUUAGAAAAACAUAGUACACAUAAAUAGCUAGACAAAGAGAAUCUCUUGUAUAUAUCAAGAGAUCUUACAAGUUAAACUGAACCAAACUGAGACCAUCAUACAAUUGAUGGGUAAUAACAGUACCCAUACUUUUAUUUUCUUAAACAUAACAUAAGAGACUAAUACUGCAUAUUCUUAACCAGUGUGAUCAAGGUUUCUUCCAUAUUGCGGGACCACAAGAAGAUCAAUAUUUCCAUUAAUUUCAUCAUCAGCAAUAAGUGACCAACGUGGCGGUGCAAUCCCCUCCGACCAAUCGUUAUAACCUG
rnacentral:lncRNA from 1 species